rnacentral:tRNA from 4 species
GCCCCUGUGGCGGAAUUGGUAGACGCGACGGAUUCAAAAUCCGUUUCCGCAAGGAGUGUCAGUUCGAGUCUGACCAGGGGCACCA